rnacentral:rRNA from 1 species
GUGGGGAAUAUUGGACAAUGGGCGAAAGCCUGAUCCAGCCAUGCCGCGUGUGUGAAGAAGGUCUUCGGAUUGUAAAGCACUUUAAGUUGGGAGGAAGGGCAGUAAGUUAAUACCUUGCUGUUUUGACGUUACCAACAGAAUAAGCACCGGCUAACUUCGUGCCAGCAGCCGCGGUAAUACGAAGGGUGCAAGCGUUAAUCGGAAUUACUGGGCGUAAAGCGCGCGUAGGUGGUUCAGCAAGUUGAAGGUAAAAUCCCCGGGCUCAACCUGGGAACUGCCUCCAAAACGACUGAGCUAGAUUACGGUAGAGGGUAGGGAAUUUCCUGUGUAGCGGUGAAAUGCGUAGAUAUAGGAAGGAACACCAGUGGCGAAGGCGACUACCUGGACUGAUACUGACACUGAGGUGCGAAAGCGUGGGGAGCAAACAGGAUUAGAAACCCUGGUAGUCC